rnacentral:misc_RNA from 1 species
AAGUCGUAACAAGGUUUCCGUAGGUGAACCUGCGGAAGGAUCAUUAUCGAUUCAAACUAAUGAGGGGGAGGGUUGUCCGUAGUUGUGCUGGCUUUUAACCAAGGCAAUGUGCACGCUUGGAUUUUCCCUCUUUCUUCAUUUUACACACCUGUGAACCUGUAGUAGGGCAUCUCGCAAGAGAUGCUCUAUGUCUUCUCACAUACUCCAUCACUAGUUUAUAGAAUGUACCCUUUUGCUCUCGUCAGAGACAAAAAGAAAGCUUUUAUAACUUUCAGCAACGGAUCUCUUGGCUCUC